UCGGGAAUUUUGGGCAAUGGGCGAAAGCCUGACCCAGCAACGCCGCGUGAAGGAUGAAGUAUUUCGGUAUGUAAACUUCGAAAGAAUAGGAAGAAUAAAUGACGGUACUAUUUAUAAGGUCCGGCUAACUACGUGCCAGCAGCCGCGGUAAUACGUAGGGACCAAGCAUUGUUCGGAUUUACUGGGCGUAAAGGGCGCGUAGGCGGCAAUUCAAGUCAUCUGUGAAAUCUCCGGGCUUAACUCGGAACGGUCAGAUGAUACUGCUUUGCUAGAGUGCAGAAGGGGCAAUCGGAAUUCUUGGUGUAGCGGUGAAAUGCGUAGAUAUCAAGAGGAACACCUGAGGUGAAGACGGGUUGCUGGGCUGACACUGACGCUGAGGCGCGAAAGCCAGGGGAGCAAACGGGAUUAGAUACCCCCGUAGUCCCUGAGCGGGCUGGCAAGGCGCAU
rnacentral:rRNA from 1 species